rnacentral:rRNA from 1 species
UGAGGAAUAUUGGGCAAUGGACGCAAGUCUGACCCAGCCAUGCCGCGUGAAGGAUGAAGGCGUUCUGCGUUGUAAACUUCUUUUAUUGGGGAAGAAACCUCCGUUUUCUAAUGGAGCCGACGGUACCCAACGAAUAAGCACCGGCUAACUCCGUGCCAGCAGCCGCGGUAAUACGGAGGGUGCAAGCGUUAUCCGGAUUCACUGGGUUUAAAGGGUGUGUAGGCGGAUUUUUAAGUCAGUGGUGAAAUCUCCGGGCUCAACCCGGAAACUGCCAUUGAUACUAUUAGUCUUGAAUUCUGUUGAGGUGGGCGGAAUACAUCAUGUAGCGGUGAAAUGCUUAGAUAUGAUGUAGAACACCGAUUGCGAAGGCAGCUCACUAAGCAGACAUUGACGCUGAGGCACGAAAGCGUGGGGAUCAAACAG